rnacentral:rRNA from 1 species
AUUGAACGCUGGCGGCAGGCCUAACACAUGCAAGUCGAACGAGUGGCGGACGGGUGAGUAAUGUCUGGGAAACUGCCCGCUGGAGGGGGAUAACUACUGGAAACGGUAGCUAAUACCGCAUACCCUCGGAUUUUCCCAGAUGGGAUUAGCUUGUAGGUGAGGUAACGGCUCACCUAGGCGACGAUCCAUACCUGGUCUGAGAGGAUGACCAGCCACACUGGAACUGAGACACGGUCCGGACCCCUACGGGAGGCAGCAGUGGGGAAUAUUGCACAAGGGGGGCAAGCCUGAUGCGGCCCUGCCGCGUGUGUGAAGCAGGUCUUGGGAUGGUAAAGCACUUUAAGUUGGGAGGCGUUACCAACAGAAUAAGCACCGGCUAACUUCGUGCCAGCAGCCGCGGUAAUAC